UAGGAGGGACCGCAUGAACGAAGUUCAUACUCGUAAUUGGUCCCGACGACCUGCCCUGCUCUCAUAAGCGAGAGGGGCGAUACAUAA
rnacentral:sRNA from 1 species